UCCGGGUUUUUAAAAAAAAACAAAAGGGAAGGGGAUUUUUCUCUCUGGGGAAACCCAGAAAUCGGCCAGGAGGGCCACCGCGCGCAGUCGUAGAUCCGUCGCCGCCGGCCACCUUCCACGGUGGUCGAAACCUCAAAAAAGGUGCAGAGGGCGGUGGAUGUGAUGGGGCGGUGCUGCAGUGGGCAGGUGGUGGCAGAGAGUUGGUGGUGCGGCGCCAAACAUAGGGAUUAGGAUUUUCUGAUUUGAUUGGGGAUGGGGUAGGCUAAAAUUGGGCCAUGGUAGUUGGGUUUUGAUCUAUUUGUUUUGGGUUGUUUGGAUUUAUUGGGGAGGUGGGCUAGGUAGAUUUUGGGUUGUUUUAUUUGGGGUUUAGUAUGUAUUGGAUAUUGGAUUUUGUAAUUUAAAUGGGUUUGGGUAAUUUGUAAACGGGCUAAAAUUGGCCUACAACAGAGGGUAUUUCGGAAUAAUAAAUGAUUUUAUAAGUUA